CCUACGGGAGGCAGCAGUGGGGAAUAUUGCACAAUGGGGGGAACCCUGAUGCAGCAACGCCGCGUGGGUGAAGAAGUACUCCGGUAUGUAAAGCCCUGUCAGCAGGGAAGAAAAUGACGGUACCUGAGUAAGAAGCCCCGGCUAACUACGUGCCAGCAGCCGCGGUAAUACGUAGGGGGCAAGCGUUAUCCGGAUUUACUGGGUGUAAAGGGAGCGUAGACGGCAGUGCAAGUCUGGAGUGAAAGGCGGGGGCUCAACCCCCGGACUGCUCUGGAAACUGUACGGCUGGAGUGCAGGAGAGGUAAGUGGAAUUCCUAGUGUAGCGGUGAAAUGCGUAGAUAUUAGGAGGAACACCAGUGGCGAAGGCGGCUUACUGGACUGUAACUGACGUUGAGGCUCGAAAGCGUGGGGAGCAAACAGGAUUAGAUACCCCUGUAGUC
rnacentral:rRNA from 1 species